rnacentral:misc_RNA from 1 species
GCCCCCUCAUCCUCCUUUGCCUUCUCUUUCUGGUUCCUAUACAUGUAGUUUGAUUAAGAUCUAUUUUAAUAUUACUAUAAUUUUCUUCAUUGACACUAUUUUGAUGCAUUAAAUUGAUGACAUAAUUAUCUUCUUCCAACAAUUAUGUGCAUGCUAAACAUUUGGUGUGAAGUACUCAUUCUUUUUAUUGUAUUCUUUCCUCACAUUUCAAUUGUCCAACUCCAUAUUCUAUCUUAGUUUCUGUACUACUGAUUUUUUUUUGGUAGUUUAUUUUGUGUUUUGUUUCUUGAGUUGCCAUUGCUAUGAUAUUAUGAUGGGCAGAUAUGUGUUGAAACUUUGAAUCCUUAGCUGAAAGCUUCCCGUUCUUCUCGUUCCUUUUCCCCCAUCUUUUGUUCCCAGGUUCUUUUAGCAAUAAGAUUUAGAUUUUGCUAUGGUUGUAUACUAUAUUUCUGGCUUUGACUUAAGAUAAAAUCUUUUAUGGGCUUUCUUGUUUUAUGGAUUUUGGAGUCGAAUUUAUAGGAUGAAUCAGUUUUCUAUUGUUAAAUGCUGUUAAAAUAGGUGGAAAAUUUAGUGCUCAUCUUGGAUUUCAAAGCAAUUAGGAAUUUAAGGACUAAAUGUAAAGCUUAAAUUAAAUUUUCUAAUUCCCUGCAUUGUCAUUGAGGCUAAAUUGGAAAAUUUUGAAAGUUUGGAGACUAAAAGUAAUAUUUUGCCUAUUCCAAUAUUUAAAUUUAGAAAAUGAGACUUGGAAGUUCACAUUUUUAUACAUGGAUGAAUAUGCCUCAGAAAUGAUGUGUAUCAACAACUCUACCAGCAUGAUUUUACCUGUUGUUGCUAGACCUUUAGGAGUCCUCUUUUCAUUUAUAUUAUAAUUGUUUCUCUUAUUAAAGUGGCAACUGUAAAAUCAAUCAUCUCUCUUUCUUCUCUUUUUAUAGGAUAUUUACUAAAUCA